CCUACGGGGGGCAGCAGUGAGGAAUAUUGGUCAAUGGACGAGAGCCUGAACCAGCCAAGCCGCGUGAAGGAUGAAGGCACAACGGGUUGUAAACUUCUUUUAUAAGGGAAUAAAGGCAGGUACGCGUACCUGUAUGAAUGUACCUUAAGAAUAAGGAUCGGCUAACUCCGUGCCAGCAGCCGCGGUAAUACGGAGGAUUCAAGCGUUAUCCGGAUUUAUUGGGUUUAAAGGGUGCGGAGGUGGUGCGUUAAGUCAGUGGUGAAAGCUCGGGGCUCAAACCUGGAAUUGCAUUUGAUACUGGCAGUCUCGAGUGUAGUUGAGGUAUGCGGAAUGCGUGGUGUAGCGGUGAAAUGCUUAGAUAUCACGCAGAACUCCGAUUGCGAAGGCAGCUUACCAAGCUUCCACUGACGUUGAGGCACGAAAGUGUGGGUAUCAAACAGGAUUAGAUACCCGUGUAGUC
rnacentral:rRNA from 1 species